AGGAAACGUCUACAAUUUGUCCCUCUAGCUCUUUCUGAAUUCCAGUGUACAGUAUGAAAGAUGGGCGUCCUUUCCAAAGGAACUCAGGUGCUUGUCCUAAAAGGUACUUGCCAAAGACUCCAAAUAUCACCUCUGCCUGCCACUUCAAGCACCACUGGAUCCACUGAGUCAUCUGACCCACGUGGCACAGCAACGUGCAUAACAGCCAGGACCUGUUGCCAAGACUUCCCUUCUCUCACUGACCAACCAGCAUAUCAUUAUCAGUGUAACGGGCCAGCACAAUGUUCUGCAGAAGGGGAAGGAGGUCCCUGAAGACUAAAUCAUGACAUGGGACUGAAGAGUUGAUGUACCUUGUGGCAGGACAGUAAAGGCGUGUUGCUGACUUGUCUGUUGAUUCCUUCUAGUGGUCUUUUAGAACACAUGUAAUUGGAAAAAGCUUUCACCAGAUCAAUAGCUGUAUACUAGGUACUAGGAAAUGUGUUAAGUUGCUCAAGCAAUAAAACCACAUCUGGAAUAGUGCAACUGGAAUCACCACAAAAUCAGAUUUAUGAAAAUCCACUGUCAUUCCCCAAGAUCUAACUGUCUUCUGUCAAAUAGGUGAGUCGAAAAAGGAUGUGGUGUGUAUCACAACCUUUGCAACUUUCAAGUUCUUGACAGUAGUGCUAAUCUUUGCAAUCCCUCCAAAAAUGUGGUAUUGUUUUGGCUUAUGUUUUUAUAGCUUAGCAACAGUUCUAGUGGCUUCCAUUUGUCCCUUCCUAUAUUAACAACCUUCACUCUACAGGUGAGGGGACCAAUGUGGGGAUUCUGCCAAUUGCUGAGUAUGUCUAUUUUUUUAUGCAUUCUGGAACUGGGGAAAUAACCACAGGAUGUGUUCAGAGAUGCACUGGGCCUAAUGUAAGAUGGACCUGAGCUAAAAUUCCACUGAUCACUCGACCUUCACAAGUCCCUACUCUGAUAGGUAGACAGUGAUGUUCAGGUUUCCAUGAAUUAGUGUUAAGUCAGAGCCACUGCCUACUAAUCCCCCAGAAGUCUGGUUAUUUCCUUUCCCUCAGUGCACAGUCACUCCAGCAAAUGACUAUAGGAUCCUUUGCGGAAGACUGGGGAAGAAAUUAACAUUAUACAUUUUUGGCAAUGAAGUAGGGUCCUUCCUCAAGAAAACCUAACCUUCCCUUCUU